rnacentral:rRNA from 1 species
CACGUACUGUGCGAACGUUAUUCGGAAUCACUGGGCUUAAAGGGUGCGUAGGCGGCGAUUCAAGUCAGGUGUGAAAUGCCUGAGCUCAACUGAGGCAUUGCGCUUGAAACUGAAUUGCUAGAGUAUCCCAGGGGUGUGCGGAACUGCCAGUGGAACGGUGAAAUGUGUUGAUAUUGGCAGGAACACCGGAGGCGAAAGCGGCACACUGGGGGAUAACUGACGCUGAGGCACGAAAGCCAAGGGAGCGAACGGG